GGAUGCCAAGGUGUGACGCAAUGCUAAUACAUAUGAUGAGAUAGCAUGAGGGAUCUUGGGGUCAAAAUUAGGGUCUUACAAUAUGACAAAAAUUAUAGGAGAUAGGGUCUAGGGAACCCUAGAUUUUACUAGUUGGCUUUCUCUAGUCAACUUCUUUGAACCAACUUGUAAACUUGAAGUUCCUUUUAUAUUUGGGACCCAUGGAGGAUAAUAUAUG
rnacentral:lncRNA from 1 species